rnacentral:tRNA from 1 species
GGGGGUGUAGCUCACUGGUAGAGUGCUUGCCUGGAAUACAUAAGGCCCUAGGUUCAAUCCCAACAUUCCCC